rnacentral:lncRNA from 1 species
GUCAAACAUUAAUAAAAAGUGACACAUACAUAGAAUGUACAAAGAAUUUUCGUUAGUCUUCAUCAAUUCGAUUUAUGUUAAUGUGUGAAAUGUUUAAAAGAAUCUAGCAUAUCAUCUUAGCCUUCAUUUACUUAAAUAUAACUCGUGGGUACACACCAACUCACAGCACUAAUUGGCAAAACUAUCAGUAAAAUAUAGUGUUAAAAAUUGUACUUUGGAAUUCAGAUAGAUCUACGUUCAAAUUUUAGUUUUUCCUUAUAUAGGGUGGUUAGUUUCUACAAGUCAUACAUCUUUUUCUUUUGCUGGAAUGGGGGUAUGCUUUGUCUCUCUCUCUCUCUCUCUCUCUCUCUCUCUCUCUUCAAAUUUUUUACUGUCACUUGAAAGCAGGACACUAAUAUGUACCUAGUAGAAUUAUUGUGAGGACUAGAAUUAAUUAAUAUUUAUUAUGUGCUUACCAUGUCUCCUGACACAUAAUAAGUGAUCUAUCAGUGCCAUAUAUAUCUUAUAAAGUAGAUAUUUGAUUUUUACUAUGUUAGUCUGGCUUUGUGGACCACCAAAUAAAAGAGGAUGAAUCAUUUACUCAAUCCUUUUGGUGAUGAAGAUGUAUUUUUAAAUUUGCUUUAUUUUAUUUUUUAGAGAUGAAGUCUUGCUUUGUCGCCCAGGCUGGAGUGCCAGUAGUGUGAUUGUGGUUCACUGUAGCCUCCGCCUCCCGGGUUCCAGAGAUUCUCCUGCCUCAGCCUCCCAGGAAUAAGUCCACUCCGAAAAAAAAAUUAAAUGCUAAUGAAGGCAACUUGUGAACGAUAAUGUGCAAAGUUGCUGAGAAGCCAAAGGUCAAGAGGCUGCAUCUGUUAAGAGCCUUCUUGCUGGUGGAGACUUUGAAGAGUCCCAAGACGGCACAAGUUACCACAUAGAGAAGAGGCUGAGCAUGCUAGCUCAGGUCUCUCCUCUACUUUUAAUAAAGCCACCGAUACUACUCCAAUGAUAACCCAUCAACCCAUUAAUUCAUUAAUGUAAUACAUUAAUGAAUUAAUGGACAAAUCCAUCCAUGAAAGCAGUCUUCAUGAUCCAGUCACAUCUUAGCAGCCCCAUGCUCAGUCAGUACUUCUACAGUGGGGUUUCAAUUUCAGUA